rnacentral:lncRNA from 1 species
GAGGUCGUGGUUGUGGCGCUCCUCGAUGUCGCUGAGCUGCCGCUCCAGGGACUCCUUAGUGCCUCGCACCGACUCGAGCUCGAUGCUCUUGGACUGCAGCUGGCGCCGGUACUCGGCGAUCUCUUCCUUGGCAGAGCGAAUGGCCUCCUUGUUCUGCUCGGCCGCCUCGGUGAGCUUGGCGUAGCGGCAUUUGAACCACUCUUCGGCCUGGUGCAUGUUCUGGUCUGAGUGACACUCGAGCUGGGAGCGGAUCUCCUUCAGCGCCGUGGAGAUGUCUGUCUUCAGGUAAUCUUUGCGCUCUACCGUGAUGUGCGACGCCUGGAUCUGAGCCAGCAGGUCGGCCACCUCCUCUUCGUGAUUGCUCCGCAGGAAAGCCACCUCAUCCUGCAGCGACUGCACCUUCUUGUCCAGCUCCACCUUAACCAUCGACGACUCUUCGAUGUCUUUGCGCAGCGCGCGAAUGGCAGCCUCGGUGUCGUCCCGCAGCCGCGCCUCCUCCUCGAAGCGCUCCUUGAGCCGGUGGAUGUCUUCCUCCAAGUGAUCGGAGUCCAGCUGCACUUGAGCCUUCUCGUGGUUCACCAUCUCGAGGGUGGCGCGCAGCUCUCGGAUCUCCUGGUCGUAAGCAUCACCCAGCUGGGCGUGCGAGGCCUGCUUCUGCCGCAGUGCCUGGAUCUCUGCUUCGAUCUCCUUGUUCUGUUGUUCCAAGUAGUGCACUUUCUCGAUGUAGCCGGCGAAGCGGUCGUUCAGCCCCUGCAGCUGCUCUUUCUCGUUAGAGCGGGACAGUUUGUAGUCGCCGCCGGAGCCGCCGUUGAGCAGCGACGAGGACUGGCUGAAGUCGAGGCUGCUCUCGGCCGAGCUGAGCAUAGCCGAGCUGUAGGCGAGACGCGGGGCGAGCGCGCUGCGCUUGUAGGAGGAGGACACGGUGCUGGGCGAGCCGCGGGACCAGGACUGCGAGCGGAAGCCGCUGGACGGGGAACCGCUCACGCGGCUGAAGCUGGAGCGGGUCUCGGUGACCCGCCGGUAGGCGGACGGGUUGCCCAGCGAGUCCAGCGUGUAGCUCAUCUUGGAGGCCUUGGGGUGUGUGGCUGUCACAGCGUUCUGCCGGCCUCGCCGCAGCCCCUUUAUAGCGGAGCAGCUGGUCCCGGGCCAGGGCCCCGCCCCGUGGAGGCGGCGGCCGAGGAGGCGGGGACUGCGGGUACCGGGCCGGGGGUGGGGGGAAGGGGGAGACAAGCCUUGCGGUGAUUCAGCGGCCGCUCCACGUGGGCCCGCACCACACUGGACCCCACACUUGGGUGUCGCCGGGCCGGCCUUUUCCUAGCGUCCCCUUGAGUUCCAGACCUCUUGUCACCCGGUAGCUUGCCCUUCUCUGCUUUUUCACCAGCAGUUUGCAGUUCACAGCUUUGGCGCAAGUGCCCUUUCCCAGCGCCCUUUCUUUGUCUCGCCACUCUCGGCCCUCUGAGCAGCUCUUCUCUGGCUUCCUGACUUUCGUCUGGCCCCCUACCUCUUAGUCUCUUUCUUCCUUACUUUUGGCCGUAGGGUCCGCUGUUCUUUAUCACACACACCCCUCCCACCUCUCCACGAGGCCCUUCUCCCUCUACUUUUUUUUUUUUUUCUUCAUCCGGCAUUUCCCUUGAAGCCCUUUCCCCUGGGACUUUUUUUCUUUGCAGCCUCGACUUUCACCCCUUAACCCCCAACUCUCUUUUUGUUCCCCCAUCCAUCCUUGUCUUUCUUGUCUCCCCCCCCCCCCACUCCUCGUCUUAAAGCAGCAAGAGAUGAGCUGAGAGUUAUGCAGAAGAAAAAAAAGAGAGAGUUUUUGAGGAAUGGCCCGCCGGAAACCUCCGGAAAGGGGACAAAGAAGACAGGCCGGGGUAGUCAUUUGUGUUAAAAGUGGAAAGUGGCACUCCAGUCUGCUUAACUGUUGGGGGACGACUGCAGCUUCCAGCAGGUAAGGCGCUGUGACGCCCAAGGAUCCGGCAGCACCAAGGACAGCGCCCAGGCGUGCCCAUGGGAUUCUGCUGGGUUCGCAGCCUACCAGAGUCCAGAGGAGGGUCACUUCUGGCUCAUCUCCUCCAGUGAAUACUAUUAAACCUGUUUGUAGGGGCUGUUUGUUUGUAGGGAACAAGCUGGAAAUCCCACACUAAGACAGUGCAGAGUUGGCACAAUGAACAGACUGCAGAUUUUGAAAUCAACUAAAAGCCAUUCAACUCAGUUAAGGAAAAUAGAGACUUGAAACCCAGUUUGACUUUACCAAUAAGUGAGGGAUGUUAGGGAAGGAGGAGACACAAGGCCUGAAAUUUGAAGGUCAACUACUCACCGGGAAGGGGAAAUCCGAG